rnacentral:tRNA from 1 species
ACCUGGCUGGCUCAGUUAGUAGAGCAUGAGACUCUUGAUCUUGGGGUUGUGAGUUUGAGCCCCACAUUGGGUG